CCAAUAGCGUAUAUUAAAGUUGUUGCAGUUAAAAAGCUCGUAGUUGAAUUUUGGGUUUGGCCGAUUGGUCCGUUCUUGUAGCGAGUACUGGUCGGUUGGGCCUCACCGCUUGGGGAAGGGUAAUGUCCUUUAUUGGGUGUUGCUCGGAGCCAAGACCUUUACCUUGAAAAAAUUAGAGUGUUUAAAGCAGGCUUAUGCCGGAAUACAUUAGCAUGGAAUAAUAGAAUAGGACAACGAUUCUAUUUUGUUGGUUUCUAGGACCGUUGUAAUGAUUAAUAGGGAUAGUUGGGGGGAUUAGUAUUCAAUUGUCAGAGGUGAAAUUCUUGGAUUUAUUGGAGACUAACUACUGCGAAAGCAUUUGCCAAGGAUGUUUUCAUUAAUCAAGAACGAAAGUUAGGGGAUCGAAGACGAUCAGAUACCGUCGUAGUCUUAACCAUAAACUAUGCCGACUAGGGAUCGGGCGAUGUUGUUUCAAUGACUCGCUCGGCACCUUAUG
rnacentral:misc_RNA from 1 species